UACAGAGGGUGCAAGCGUUAUUCGGAAUUAUUGGGCGUAAAGAGCACGUAGGCGGUCUCGUAAGUCUGGUGUGAAAUCCCUGGACUCAAUCCAGGAAGUGCAUUGGAUACUGCGAGACUAGAGGAUAGGAGAGGAGAGCGGAAUUCCUGGUGUAGAGGUGAAAUUCGUAGAUAUCAGGAGGAACAACAGGAGCGAAGGCGGCUCUCUGGACUAUAUCUGACGCUGAGGUGCGAAAGCGUGGGGAGCAAACAGG
rnacentral:rRNA from 1 species